AUUGAACGCUGGCGGCAUGCCUUACACAUGCAAGUCGAACGGCAGCACGGGUGCUUGCACCUGGUGGCGAGUGGCGAACGGGUGAGUAAUAUAUCGGAACGUACCUUAUUGUGGGGGAUAACGCAGCGAAAGCUGUGCUAAUACCGCAUAAUCCCUAAGGGGGAAAGCGGGGGGCCGUAAGGCCUCGCGCAAUUAGAGCGGCCGAUACCUGAUUAGCUAGUAGGUGAGGUAAAGGCUCACCAAGGCAACGAUCAGUAGCUGGUCUGAGAGGACGAUUAGCCACACUGGGACUGAGACACGGCCCAGACUCCUACGGGAGGCAGCAGUGGGGAAUUUUGGACAAUGGGGGCAACCCUGAUCCAGCAAUGCCGCGUGAGUGAAGAAGGCCUUCGGGUUGUAAAGCUCUUUUGUCAGGGAAGAAACAGCAGCUCUAACACAGUAUGCGAAUGACGGUACCUGAAGAAUAAGCACCGGCUAACUACGUGCCAGCCGCCGCAGUAA
rnacentral:rRNA from 1 species